rnacentral:rRNA from 1 species
CAGCAGUAGCCACGGUAAUACAGAGGGUGCGAGCGUUAAUCGGAUUUACUGGGCGUAAAGCGUGCGUAGGCGGCUAAUUGAGUCGGAUGUGAAAUCCCCGAGCUUAACUUGGGAAUUGCAUUCGAUACUGGUUAGCUAGAGUGUGGGAGAGGAUGGUAGAAUUCCAGGUGUAGCGGUGAAAUGCGUAGAGAUCUGGAGGAAUACCGAUGGCGAAGGCAGCCAUCUGGCCUAACACUGACGCUGAGGUACGAAAGCAUGUGGAGCAAACAGGAUUAGAUACCCCCGUAGUCCCUGUCUCUUAUAC